rnacentral:rRNA from 1 species
GUGGGGAAUUUUGGACAAUGGGCGCAAGCCUGAUCCAGCCAUACCGCGUGGGUGAAGAAGGCCUUCGGGUUGUAAAGCCCUUUUGUUGGGAAAGAAAUCCUGUCGGUUAAUACCUGGCGGGGAUGACGGUACCCAAAGAAUAAGCACCGGCUAACUUCGUGCCAGCAGCCGCGGUAAUACGAAGGGUGCAAGCGUUACUCGGAAUUACUGGGCGUAAAGCGUGCGUAGGUGGUGGUUUAAGUCCGUUGUGAAAGCCCUGGGCUCAACCUGGGAAUUGCAGUGGAUACUGGAUCACUAGAGUGUGGUAGAGGGAUGCGGAAUUUCUGGUGUAGCAGUGAAAUGCGUAGAGAUCAGAAGGAACAUCCGUGGCGAAGGCGGCAUCCUGGGCCAACACUGACACUGAGGCACGAAAGCGUGGGGAGCAAACAGGAUUAGAAACCCCGGUAGUCC